rnacentral:rRNA from 1 species
CAGUCGCCGCGGUAAUGCGUAGGGUGCGAGCGUUAAUCGGAAUUACUGGGCGUAAAGCGUGCGCAGGCGGUUGUGUAAGACAGGUGUGAAAUCCCCGGGCUUAACCUGGGAACUGCGCUUGUGACUGCACAGCUAGAGUAUGGCAGAGGGGGGUGGAAUUCCACGUGUAGCAGUGAAAUGCGUAGAGAUGUGGAGGAACACCGAUGGCGAAGGCAGCCCCCUGGGCCAAUACUGACGCUCAUGCACGAAAGCGUGGGGAGCAAACAGGAUUAGAUACCCCCGUAGUCCCUGUCUCUUAUAC